CAAUAGCGUAUAUUUAAGUUGUUGCAGUUAAAAAGCUCGUAGUUGGAUUUCGGGUGGGACGCAGCGGUCUCGCAUUGCGUUUGUACUGCUGCAGCCCUCCUUCUUGCCGGGGGCGGCCUCUCGGACUUCACUGUCUGGGGGUCAGAAUCGGCGAUGUUACUUUGAGUAAAUUAGAGUGUUCAAAGCAAGCUUACGCUCUGAAUAUAAUAGCAUGGGAUAACACGACAGGACUCUGGCCUAUCGUGUUGGUCUAUAGGACCAGAGUAAUGAUUAAGAGGGACAGUCGGGGGCAUCCGUAUUCCGUUGUCAGAGGUGAAAUUCUUGGAUUUACGGAAGACGAACAUCUGCGAAAGCAUUUGCCAAGGAUGUUUUCAUUGA
rnacentral:rRNA from 1 species